rnacentral:rRNA from 1 species
GAUGAACGCUAGCUACAGGCUUAACACAUGCAAGUCGAGGGACCGGCGCACGGGUGAGUCACACGUAUCCAACCUUCCCUUUACUCGGGGAUAGCCUUUCGCAAGAAUGAUUAAUACCCGAUGUAAAGGAUGGGGAUGCGUUCCAUUAGGUUGUUGGUGAGGUAACGGCUCACCAAGCCUUCGAUGGAUAGGGGUUCGGAGAGGAAGGUCCCCCACAUUGGAACUGCGGCACGGUCCAAACUCCUACGAGAGGCAGCAGUGGGGGGUAUUGGUCGAUGAGCGUUAGCCUCACCCAGCCGAGUAGCGUGAAGGGUGAAGGCGUAUGGGUCGUAUACUUCUUUUAUAUAAGAAUAGGUAUUAUAUGAAUAAGGAUCGGCUAACUCCGUGCCAGCAGCCGCGGUAAUUC